rnacentral:rRNA from 1 species
CCUACGGGUGGCAGCAGUGGGGGAUAUUGCACAAUGGGGGGAACCCUGAUGCAGCGACGCCGCGUGGGUGAAGGAGCGUUUCGGCGCGUAAAGCCCUAUCGGCAGGGAAGAAGAUGACGGUACCUGACCAAGAAGCCCCGGCUAACUACGUGCCAGCAGCCGCGGUAAUACGUAGGGGGCAAGCGUUAUCCGGAUUUACUGGGUGGAAAGGGGGCGCAGACGGCAAUGCAAGCCAGGAGUGAAAGCCCGGGGCCCAACCCCGGGACUGCUCUUGGAACUGCAUGGAUGGAGUACAGGAGGGGCAGGCGGAAUUCCUAGUGUAGCGGUGAAAUGCGUAGAUAUACGGAGGAACACCAGUGGCGAAGGCGGCCUGCUGGACAAUAACUGACGCUGAGGCGCGAAAGCGUGGGGAGCAAACAGGAUUAGAUACCCGGGUAGUC